UGAAUUGAAACGUUGCCUGUCCUGUUC
rnacentral:piRNA from 1 species